rnacentral:rRNA from 1 species
AUUGAACGCUGGCGGCAGGCCUAACACAUGCAAGUCGAACGAGUGGCGGACGGGUGAGUAAUGUCUGGGAAACUGCUUGAUGGAGGGGGAUAACUACUGAAAACGGUAGCUAUUACCGCAUACCAUAGGCUGUGCCCAGAUGGGGUUAGCGAGUAGGUGGGGUAAAGGCUCACCUAGGAGACGAUCCCUAGCUGGUCUGAGAGGUUGACCAGCCACACUGGAACUGAGACACGGUCCAGACUCCUACGGGAGGCAGCAGUGGGGAAUAUUGCACAAUGGGCGCAAGCCUGAUGCAGCCAUGCCGCGUGUAUGAAGAAGGCCUUCGGGUUGUAAAGUACUUUCAGCGGGGAGGCGUUACCCGCAGAAGAAGCACCGGCUAACUCCGUGCCAGCAGCCGCGGUAAUAC